rnacentral:misc_RNA from 1 species
UUUCCGUAGGUGAACCUGCGGAAGGAUCAUUCACAAUGAGUGUUUAAUGGCACUCUAAAUCCAUUACCCACCUUGUGUGCAAUGUCGGGGAGAACACCCCACUCACUCUUCUGAGAGAGGGGGGGGGGAUCAUGUUCUUCUUUUCAUACAUACCAACUUUCAGUAUCAGUCUACAUCUAUUUAGAGUAUAAAAAACUCGAAAUACAACUUUCAACAACGGAUCUCUUGGCUCUC